CAGUCGUACGCUUCUUUUUCACCGGAGCUUGCUCCACCGGAAAAAGAAGAGUGGCGAACGGGUGAGUAACACGUGGGUAACCUGCCCAUCAGAAGGGGAUAACACUUGGAAACAGGUGCUAAUACCGUAUAACAAUCGAAACCGCAUGGUUUUGAUUUGAAAGGCGCUUUCGGGUGUCGCUGAUGGAUGGACCCGCGGUGCAUUAGCUAGUUGGUGAGGUAACGGCUCACCAAGGCCACGAUGCAUAGCCGACCUGAGAGGGUGAUCGGCCACAUUGGGACUGAGACACGGCCCAAACUCAUACGGGAGGCAGCAGUAGGGAAUCUUCGGCAAUGGACGAAAGUCUGACCGAGCAACGCCGCGUGAGUGAAGAAGGUUUUCGGAUCGUAAAACUCUGUUGUUAGAGAAGAACAAGGAUGAGAGUAACUGUUCAUCCCUUGACGGUAUCUAACCAGAAAGCCACGGCUAACUACGUGCCAGCAGCCGCGGUAAUACGUAGGUGGCAAGCGUUGUCCGGAUUUAUUGGGCGUAAAGCGAGCGCAGGCGGUUUCUUAAGUCUGAUGUGAAAGCCCCCGGCUCAACCGGGGAGGGUCAUUGGAAACUGGGAGACUUGAGUGCAGAAGAGGAGAGUGGAAUUCCAUGUGUAGCGGUGAAAUGCGUAGAUAUAUGGAGGAACACCAGUGGCGAAGGCGGCUCUCUGGUCUGUAACUGACGCUGAGGCUCGAAAGCGUGGGGAGCAAACAGGAUUAGAUACCCUGGUAGUCCACGCCGUAAACGAUGAGUGCUAAGUGUUGGAGGGUUUCCGCCCUUCAGUGCUGCAGCUAACGCAUUAAGCACUCCGCCUGGGGAGUACGACCGCAAGGUUGAAACUCAAAGGAAUUGACGGGGGCCCGCACAAGCGGUGGAGCAUGUGGUUUAAUUCGAAGCAACGCGAAGAACCUUACCAGGUCUUGACAUCCUUUGACCACUCUAGAGAUAGAGCUUCCCCUUCGGGGGCAAAGUGACAGGUGGUGCAUGGUUGUCGUCAGCUCGUGUCGUGAGAUGUUGGGUUAAGUCCCGCAACGAGCGCAACCCUUAUUGUUAGUUGCCAUCAUUCAGUUGGGCACUCUAGCAAGACUGCCGGUGACAAACCGGAGGAAGGUGGGGAUGACGUCAAAUCAUCAUGCCCCUUAUGACCUGGGCUACACACGUGCUACAAUGGGAAGUACAACGAGUCGCGAAGUCGCGAGGCUAAGCUAAUCUCUUAAAGCUUCUCUCAGUUCGGAUUGUAGGCUGCAACUCGCCUACAUGAAGCCGGAAUCGCUAGUAAUCGCGGAUCAGCACGCCGCGGUGAAUACGUUCCCGGGCCUUGUACACACCGCCCGUCACACCACGAGAGUUUGUAACACCCGAAGU
rnacentral:rRNA from 1 species